rnacentral:rRNA from 1 species
CAGUCGCCGCGGGAAUACGUAGGGUGCAAGCGUUAAUCGGAAUUACUGGGCGUAAAGCGUGCGCAGGCGGUUUUGUAAGUCUGUCGUGAAAUCCCCGGGCUCAACCUGGGAAUGGCGAUGGAGACUGCAAGGCUAGAAUCUGGCAGAGGGGGGUAGAAUUCCACGUGUAGCAGUGAAAUGCGUAGAUAUGUGGAGGAACACCGAUGGCGAAGGCAAUCCCCUGGGCCUGCACUGACGCUCAUGCACGAAAGCGUGGGGAGCAAACAGGAUUAGAUACCCCGGUAGUCCCUGUCUCUUAUAA